rnacentral:rRNA from 1 species
GACGAACGCUGGCGGCGUGCUUAACACAUGCGAGUCGAACGGUGAAGCACCUUCCUUUUGGUGGGUGUGGAUGAGUGGCGAACGGGUGAGUAACACGUGAGUAACCUGCCCCCUUCUUCUGGAUAACCGCAUGAAAGUGUGGCUAAUACGGGAUAUUCUGGGUCUGUCGCAUGGCGGGCCUGGGAAAGGUAUUGUUUCGGUGGGGGAUGGGCUCGCGGUCUAUCAGCUUGUUGGUGGGGUGAUGGCCUACCAAGGCGGUGACGGGUAGCCGGCCUGAGAGGGUGGACGGUCACACUGGGACUGAGCCACGGCCCAGACUCCUACGGGAGGCAGCAGGGGGGAAUAUGGCAUAAUGGGCGCAAGCCUGAUGCAGCGACGCCGCGUGAGGGAUGGAGGCCUGCGGGUUGUAAACCUCUUUCGCCAGUGAAGCAGGCCUGUCCCUUUUGUGGGUGGGUUGACGGUAGCUGGAUAAGAAGCGCCGGCUAACUACGUG